UUUGAAUAUCCCUAUCGUAAUACCUUUCAAAGUACAAUAUCAUUUUUAUUCACUUUAAUUCAAGGGAAUCGUUUAAUCGAGUUCAGUAGAUUUGAAUCCAAAUUCAGUUAAGACUAUCCAAGCAUUCAAUUGACACUGAUUAAACUCGGGACUCGAUAUGAUUCUUCUUCUGUUACAUCACAGAUAUAUUAUCGUGUGUCAAAAGGAAACGGCAGAUCGCUGCUAGAGUUGGCCGAUAUUCUGAAUUGUGCGGACGAAAAACGGGCGUAGCUUGGCCAGAUUGGAUUUAGCGAACACGUGUGAAGUCGCAUGCCGAUCACAGUCGUGUGGAGGCGACCACGUUCGGUCAAAUGAACAAAAAUGAAUCGAUGAGCAGAUACGGGCCUCUCGUCGGCGCGAUCGACGAGGGCACGAGCAGUGCGAGAUUUCUGGUUUUUGCAGCAGAUACAGCAGAAGUUUUAACAUAUCAUCAAGUCUCAAUAUCACAGAUAUGCCCAAAAGAGGGAUGGGUUGAACAAGAUGCUUUAGAAAUACUGAGAGCAGUUAGGGAAUGCCUUAAGCAAACUGUAUUUAAUUUAAGACAAUUGACGAUAGAUCCAGCUGACAUAGUUGCAAUUGGUAUAACAAAUCAGAGGGAAACUACAGUUGUAUGGGAUUCCGUAACAGGAGAACCACUUUAUAAUGCUAUAGUAUGGAUGGAUAUGAGAACCACAUUGAUCAUGGAUGAUAUAUUGAAGGAUAUACGUAAUAGAAAUAAGAAUUAUUUAAAACCGCUCUGUGGUCUGCCGAUUAGUCCAUACUUUAGUGCAUUAAAAUUAAAAUGGUUGUUAGAAAAUAUACCUCCAGUUCAAGAGGCAUUAGCCAACAAACGUCUCAUGUUUGGUACCAUCGAUUCCUGGCUAAUUUGGAAUUUGACUGGUGGUGCCAACGGUGGUGUUCAUAGCACAGAUGUAACAAAUGCUUCGAGAACAAUGUUAAUGAAUAUCAUGACAUUGAAGUGGGAUCCUACUCUGUUGUCAUUUUUUAAAAUACCUGCUGAGAUUUUACCUCAAAUACGAAGCUCCUCUGAGAUUUAUGGUUAUAUACAAGAUGACUUGCUACAAGGUGUUCCUAUAUCAGGGUGCUUAGGUGAUCAACAAUCGGCUUUAGUAGGACAGAUGUGUCUACAACAAGGACAGGCGAAAAGUACUUAUGGCACUGGAUGCUUUCUUCUUUAUAAUACUGGCACAGCUAUUGUGGAUUCAUCCCAUGGCUUAUUAACGACGGUUGCUUAUCAAUUAGGAGCGCAUGCUUCUCCAGUGUAUGCUCUUGAAGGUUCUGUAGCUGUCGCAGGUGCCGUUAUACAAUGGUUGAAGGAUAAUCUUGGACUAUUAACUGAUGUAAAAGACUGUGAAACUAUUGUUGAACAAAUACCCGCGGACAAUCAUAUUGUUUUUGUACCAGCUUUUGCUGGAUUGUAUGCUCCAUAUUGGAGGAAAGAUGCACGAAGUGUUAUAUGUGGUAUUAGUGAAAAUACUAAUAGCGCACAUAUUAUAAAGGCAGCUAUGCAAGCAGUAUGCUUUCAAACGAGAGAUAUUUUGGAAGCUAUAAAGCAGGACACUGGCUUAAUGCUUUCAAAAUUGUUGGUUGAUGGUGCAAUGACUAAUAACAAUUUAUUAAUGCAAAUGCAAGCGGAUAUCUGUGGAAUUCCAGUGGGCCAUUAAUGUGUGAAACUACCGCGCUUGGAGUUGCAAUUGCUGCAGGAAGCGCAGAAGGAAUAAAAAAAUGGGAUGUAAAGAGUGAUGCUGCUGUUCCCAGUGAUAUCUUUUUGCCAUCAAUAACUGAAAAUGAACGUGAUAUUUUAUAUUCUCGAUGGAAAAUGGGUAUUGACAGAAGCUUAGGUUGGGAGUCAGAAUUUCCACAAAUAACAAAUGAUGAUACAGAAGAUAUACAUAAAGCUACUGCGCCUGGUGUAUUUAUAAUUGGAACUAUAAUACUGCUUAUAGUUGCAAAGUAUAGAUCUACUUUGUAAUAAGUUUGUAUAUACAAUACUGUGUAUUGUAUAUUGCAUUUAGACAAAAUCUGCUUAUUAAUAUAAUUGAAAGUAGGGUUAUUUUACAAAUAUGAUACAUUGCUUUAUCUAAAUUAUUUAUGUAAUAUAGUAUUUAUGAGUUAAAAAAGAGUCAAGAAUAAAAAGUGCCAUAAGAUUGUAAA
rnacentral:misc_RNA from 1 species